rnacentral:tRNA from 1 species
GGAUGUGUGGCCCAGCGGACAGGGCAUAAGCCUGGAAAUCAGGGGACCUGGGUUCAAAUCCCUGCCCUACCU